rnacentral:rRNA from 1 species
CCAAUAGCGUAUAUUAAAGUUGUUGCAGUUAAAAAGCUCGUAGUUGAAUUUCGGGAUUGACGUGAUGGUCGUGCCUUACGGGGUAUGAACUGUCGCAGUUGAUUUCUCACCUUCUGGAGAAGCUCGAUGUCCUUAAUUGGGUGUCUUGCGGCACCAGGACCUUUACCUUGAAAAAAUUAGAGUGUUUAAAGCAGGCAUUUUGCUCGAAUACAUUAGCAUGGAAUAAUAGAAUAGGACGGCAUGGUUCUAUUUUGUUGGUUUCUAGGAUCACCGUAAUGAUUAAUAGGGAUAGUUGGGGGCAUUAGUAUUCAAUUGUCAGAGGUGAAAUUCUUGGAUUUAUUGAAGACUAACUACUGCGAAAGCAUUUGCCAAGGAUGUUUUCAUUAAUCAAGAACGAAAGUUAGGGGAUCGAAGACGAUCAGAUACCGUCGUAGUCUUAACCAUAAACUAUGCCGACUAGGAAUCAGACGAUGUUAAUUUUUUAAUGACUCGUUUGGCACCUUACG